rnacentral:rRNA from 1 species
UACGGAGGGUGCAAGCGUUAUCCGGAAUCACUGGGUUUAAAGGGUACGUAGGCGGUUGGAUAAGUCAGACGUUAAAGGCUGUAGCUAAACUAUGGUACGCGUUUGAAACUGUCUAACUUGAAUAUGUUCGAGGUGCAUGGAAUGUAUCAUGUAGCGGUGAAAUGCAUAGAUAUGAUAUAGAACACCAAUUGCGAAGGCAGUGCACUAGGGCAUCAUUGACGCUGAGGUACGAAAGCGUGGGUAGCGAACAGG